rnacentral:lncRNA from 1 species
AAUCUGUGAGGUGGAUGCGUGUUGGAAGGACCCCUUUUGGUUUCUUUUUGCUCAGAGCUUUCUUUUAAUAAAUUCCGCUCUCCUCACCUUUCAAUGUGUCCGUAUGCCUAAUUUUUCCUGGUCCUGUGACAAGAACCUGAUUUUAGCUGAACUAAGGAGCGAAAGAUCCUGGAUCAUUUUGGUGACCCAUACUGGUACAUGAGGAAAGGUCACAAAACCCUCCUGUGAGAGGAACCCUCUGUGGAAGAACAGAAUAUGUCACCCCAAAAUAUGAAGAAUUGUUGAGCUGAAGAUGAUUAAGAAGAAGCGGAUGCAGGAAAGCUCUCUGCUCUCCCUCUAUUUGCUUAAAAGCAGGAUAAACACUUACAAAGACUAAAGGGGUCCAUUCCAACUAAGAAACUAUGGGGGACCAGGCAUGGUGGCUCACGCCUAUAAUCCCAGCACUUUGGGAGGCCAAGGCCGGCAGAUCACGAGGUCAGGAGAUCGAGACCAUCCUGGCCAACAUGGUGAAACCCCAUCUCUAUUUAAAAAAUACAAAAAAUUAACUGGGUGUGGUGGCAUGCACCUGUAGUCCCAGCUACUUGGGAGUCUGAAGCAGGGGAAUCACUUGAACCCAGAAGGUGAAGGCUGCAGCAAGCCGAGAUCGCACCACUGCACUCCAGCCUGGUGGACAGAGCAAGACUCCGUCUCAAAAAAAAAAAAAAAAAAAAGACUAUGGGGUUAUUUUCCCCCUUCACCUCCCUAUAUUCUAAGGAAAGAAUCAUUCUUAUUUGUGAAGACAAAAGGACACAGAGGGAAAUAUGAACUAAAUUUUUGCUGUGUCCUCCACUUUACUACCCUUAGCUCAUACCCCCUUUGUCUUAUAUUUCUUUGUGACUCUCCACUCUUCAUCAAAUACAGUGUUAAAAACACUCAGGUUUAAUCACUUAUUUGGGUCUUCAUUUCCUUAUUAAAGCUCUCACGGCAUGUAAAGCUUAUAUUUUUAAAAUGUGUAUGCUUCUCUUUUGUCUUUUAUAUGCUUUUCUCUGUCUUCUGUUACAGACGCCACAAUCAAGAACUCAGAAGGGUAGAAGAAAAAGAUAGUUUCCCUUCCCUACACAGGU